UCCUUGGUGGUCUAGUGGUUACGACUCUGUGCUCCCAGUGCAAGGGGCACAGGUUCAAAUCCUGGUCGGGGAC
rnacentral:tRNA from 1 species